ACCCUGGUAGUCCACGCCGUAAACGAUGUCGACUUGGAGGUUGUGCCCUUGAGGCGUGGCUUCCGGAGCUAACGCGUUAAGUCGACCGCCUGGGGAGUACGGCCGCAAGGUUAAAACUCAAAUGAAUUGACGGGGGCCCGCACAAGCGGUGGAGCAUGUGGUUUAAUUCGAUGCAACGCGAAGAACCUUACCUACUCUUGACAUCCAGAGAACUUUCCAGAGAUGGAUUGGUGCCUUCGGGAACUCUGAGACAGGUGCUGCAUGGCUGUCGUCAGCUCGUGUUGUGAAAUGUUGGGUUAAGUCCCGCAACGAGCGCAACCCUUAUCCUUUGUUGCCAGCGGUUAGGCCGGGAACUCAAAGGAGACUGCCAGUGAUAAACUGGAGGAAGGUGGGGAUGACGUCAAGUCAUCAUGGCCCUUACGAGUAGGGCUACACACGUGCUACAAUGGCGCAUACAAAGAGAAGCGACCUCGCGAGAGCAAGCGGACCUCAUAAAGUGCGUCGUAGUCCGGAUUGGAGUCUGCAACUCGACUCCAUGAAGUCGGAAUCGCUAGUAAUCGUAGAUCAGAAUGCUACGGUGAAUACGUUCCCGGGCCUUGUACACACCGCCCGUCACACCAUGGGAGUGGGUUGCAAAAGAAGUAGGUAGCUUAACCUUCGGGAGGGCGCUUACCACUUUGUGAUUCAUGACUGGGGUGAAGUCGUAACAAAAGGUAACCA
rnacentral:rRNA from 1 species